rnacentral:rRNA from 1 species
CCUACGGGUGGCUGCAGUGGGGAAUAUUGCACAAUGGGGGAAACCCUGAUGCAGCAACGCCGCGUGAGUGAAGAAGGAUUUCGGUAUGUAAAGCUCUAUCAGCAGGGAAGUGAAUGACGGUACCUGACUAAGAAGCCCCGGCUAACUACGUGCCAGCAGCCGCGGUAAUACGUAGGGGGCGAGCGUUAUCCGGAUUUACUGGGGGUAAAGGGAGCGUAGACGGUUUUGCAAGUCAGAAGUGAAAGCCCGUGGCUUAACCGCGGAAUGGCUUUGGAAACUGUGGAACUUGAGUGCUGGUGAGGCAAGCGGAAUUCGUGGUGUAGCGGUGAAAUGCGUAGAUAUUAGGAGGAACACCAGUGGCGAAGGCAGCUUGCUGGACAGUAACUGACGUUGAGGCUCGAAAGUGUGGGGAGCAAACAGGAUUAGAUACCCGUGUAGUC